rnacentral:rRNA from 1 species
GGUCCUGCGGAGGGAUCAUUACACAAAUAUGAAGGCGGGCUGGAACCUCUCGGGGUUACAGCCUUGCUGAAUUAUUCACCCUUGUCUUUUGCGUACUUCUUGUUUCCUUGGUGGGUUCGCCCACCACUAGGACAAACAUAAACCUUUUGUAAUUGCAAUCAGCGUCAGUAACAAAUUAAUAAUUACAACUUUCAACAACGGAUCUCUUGGUUCUGGCAUCGAUGAAGAACGCAGCGAAAUGCGAUAAGUAGUGUGAAUUGCAGAAUUCAGUGAAUCAUCGAAUCUUUGAACGCACAUUGCGCCCUUUGGUAUUCCAAAGGGCAUGCCUGUUCGAGCGUCAUUUGUACCCUCAAGCUUUGCUUGGUGUUGGGCGUCUUGUCUCUAGCUUUGCUGGAGACUCGCCUUAAAGUAAUUGGCAGCCGGCCUACUGGUUUCGGAGCGCAGCACAAGUCGCACUCUCUAUCAGCAAAGGUCUAGCAUCCAUUAAGCCUUUUUUUCAACUUUGACCUCGGAUCAGUAGUCAA